CAGAUUCCUCGACUCUAAUGUCACGCUAAACCGGUUAGAUAACUCCGCCCUCCGACUCUAAUAUUGUGUUUAAAGGCUAGAAGAAUCUGCUUGAUAUGGAACCAGGGGAAAGGUCUCUUGGGGUUCUCUUCUUGAGUUUCCAAACUCCAGUUGCCGAUCGAGGUGUCUUAUCGCAUUAGUCAAUUAGACAUGUAGACUGUUUCAUACUUUUCUAUGCUGUCAAAGCUUGAACUGGUUUAUAUAAAGGCUGAUUUUCUCAACAGGAAUGUCAAUGAAGGAAUUAGUGGUGGCAUAAAGAUUCUUCAGUUAGCAGUAUAUUGAGAGUCAAGUAUAUGAAUUAUUGUUUCUCAUAUUGAAAAAUACAGAAAGUAAUUAUGUAUUCAAGAAAACUGUAAUCUCUUGGAAAUAUUUAAGAAAGAACAGUGGAGUUCCUGGA